CAUGUCCACAUCAGUGUGUUUUUUCCUGUUGCUGCUGUUUUAUUAUUCAGCUGUAGAAAAUUCUGCCAGAUAACUUGUUUGCAAAGUUAAUUCAUCGAUGAAGACAAGCAAAACCUAUAUGCCACUUUACAGCACUAGCCUCCAGAAAGAAGCACUAUAUUUGUGAAGCACUGGAGUGCUGGGGAUGUACUUUUCACAAGGACCAGGACAAGCUGCUUGGAAAUACAGGAAUCCAGCAGAGGCGCGUUGCCAACGUGAUCAAUUUUGACUGGUGUUGGGUUACAAAUCACUUCCUGCUGCGCGCUGACCCAACCCGCUACUCCUGAGCCUCAACAAAGAAAGCCAACCUCGCGCGCUGCCAUCAAGAAGCCUACUCCCAUUGCCAGGCCAGCAGAACAGGCUGCUGCAAUCGAGAAGGUAUCUGCUGCCUCGGGGAACAUCACCCAGGUCCUCACCAGCAGGAGGCCUGUCUCAUCCUCGCAUAUUGCCAAGAAGAUCUCCAUGCUGAGAUGAGUCAGUGUUGCCUCACCACCUGUCCAGCAUGUCCCCAUCUCCAGAAGGCGCAGCGCCCCACCGUCCAUAGCUGCGUGAGAUCCUGUCACUGGAAGGGCCAGCACCACACCUCGGACCACCCUGUGGACUCCAACAGCCGGAGGAGCCAGAGCCACACCUCAGACCGCCUGCGAACUCCAGCCACCAGAGGAACCAGCCCCUCCAUCACACCAAAGCACCAGGCCUUCAUUGCCAGACGGACCAGCACAAUCCUGUAGUCCAUCUUGUGGGACACUGCCUACUGGAGAUCUCACAGUCCAGCAGCAACCGCCCAGGCAGCAGCCACUCAUAGAGGGACCGGCGGUGUCCCAGCAACCCCUGAGCCGGACUGCGUCUCUCUGACCACCAGCAACGCUACCAUCCCACCAGAGAUUCCACCCCAGCACCCAACCAAAGGAAAUCCUGACCCACGAGACAGAAGGCAGGCUGACCAUGCAGCAGGCUCAAAGCCUGCACCAGACGAGGACCAGUGGCUGAUGGUGAGGGCUGCCAUGCCGUGGCAGACCACCUGGACAGAGGAGCUACAAGCAGCAGCUUCCUUUGAUGACUUUGAUGAGAACUGUCUGCGGAAAUUGCUUCCAGGAGGAGUUCGAACCGGGAGAACGCCCCGCCUACCCUCAGAACGCCUGCUUUGAACCACAAGGGGAACCAGAAGUAGAAAUGCCAGCCACCGCUACGAUCCAGCAUCGGCUUCCAGGGUCCAAAAACUGUACCAGGAAAACCACUCCAAGGCCAUGAGGGAGAUCCUAGAUGGGCCCUCGUCCUACUGCACGAUCCCGUCUGAGCAUCUCUACAGCUACUUCAAUGACGUAUUCAACCGCAUAGCCCAGAACGAUGCGCAGAGCCCAGAGUGCCUCUGCCCCCUGCCCCGUGUCAUCGAUGCAGGUGUCCUGGAGGCUGACUUUACACCCAAGGAAGUGAUGGCCAGACUCUCAAAAACAAAAAACCACAGCUCCUGGGAAAGACGGCAUCCCCUACAGCCUCCUGAAAAAGUAAGACCCUGGCUGCCUGGUCCUUGCCACACUCUUCAACCAGUGCAAGCGGUUCUGCCAGACUCCCAGCUCCUGGAAGAAGGCCAUGAUGGUGCUGGUGUACAAGAAGGGCGAGUGGGACUACCCCAGCAACUGGAGGCCCAUCUCCCUCUGC